GAUUCAGGGGUGGAAUUGCUGGAGUCACAGAUGGAGAGCAGGAGCCUUCUGGAAGGCUCACACGGAGGUGGAGCUGUGGGGAGGGGCUUGGACCAUUUCCUUGCAGGGCAAGUGAACAGAGGCAUAGGACACGCGGGAGCCAAAAUCAAAUUAAAAAGACCAGAAGUGGGGACACAGAGUGAAACUCGGCUCGCCGUCCCUAAGCCCCAGAGUGGUGUUCUUGAAGCACCCAGGGCUCGAUCUAAAAAUCAGACCGUGAACUCAGACUCCAGCAUUGCGAUGUGGGCUUCCCACUCGCACAGCACAUGGUCACUGAAACCAUCCCAAGGGAAUUUAAAGCAGCAGGACCCCGGCGUUACUGUUUGGUUGUUGCCUGGAGCCAGUGGAACAUCCGACCCACGCAUGGAGGCUGCUCAGCGCUUCUGCAUGAAUUAAAUGAGGUAGUACAAUGGGGCAUGUGGACUAGGAAGCCGUCACUGAGUUGGACGUUGGCCUUGCAAUGCAAACACCACCCCAUCCCACUCAGGACACGCCUGGGAAGGCACUCAGCUCAUUGAAAGAGCCCAUCAGUUUUGCUUCUUCUCUGUGACCCAUUCUGGGGAGCUGUGACCAACAGCAUAGCGGUAACUUCAGGCCCGCAAGAAGAGGGUGAAAAGUAGAUACAGUUAGCUCAUCAACUUGGAAAUGCCUUCAACAUGAAACGAAGAGUCAUCCUCAAAUUUUGCAGGAAAGAAGAGCCCCCUUUUGUUUGGACCUCCGAGACGUCUCACUUUCACCAUUCAUUCGGGGCGCUGGGAGGCGGAGGCCUCAGCAUUUCCUAACUUAUUUUUUUAUGAAGCACUCGCCUCACCCAGUAGACUGAGAGUGUGCUCCCCGUUGACCUCGGCUCAGAAAGAAGGGAAGUCCGAUGCUAAGUUCCUCUUCCUCUACCACGGGCUCCACGCACCCCAAGACCCCCCGGGAGGUCCCGAUCCUCCUUCAGAACCGGAGCACAAGGACCGUCUUUCAUGCUCUUUUCUUGGUAGAACCUGACCUGUUGCAGAGCCAAGCACCCCGCCUCUGUCUUGGGCACGCGACAGUCAGCCCUCGGGAACUUAGGUCCAGCCCAGUAAUGGACUUGUUGGCAUCCCCUCAUCUCCCAGUUAUGAAUUCCUUGGGUCCCGUGUGUCUCUACGUUCCAGUUGGUAGCACCGAACGAGUCUGCUGAAUGGAUUUUCCCUUAGUUUGAAUCCCUGCCUGGUUUGGCCAUAAGAAAACAAAUACCAUUCACGGGGUGUGUGACAUAGACGCUGGUGCUCCCCAAUUAUUCCAUGAGAUCCUGCAUAUUUUCCAGCCUUCCUGGCACUUAGCAUGGGGCCAGGUGACGAAUUCAAGUUCACGGGCACAAGGGGGAGUGAAGCAAUGCACAGCAUUUGCCACCCGAGGACACCGAGGAGGUUGAAAGCUGCACGCAUCUGCCGCGGUGGCUGGAAGCGAAGAACACUGAGACGGCGAAGGGGCCACAGAGAGCAUCUCUAAUGCGCACCACUGCUGAAAGGCGGCCACCAGAGAGGACGGGCUGAGCUGUAUCGGACUGCUCCGAAAGUGACAAAUAAGCCUCUGGCUUUGGAGGUUUGCUGCCACAGCAAAACUUAGCUUUGCCCUGACCAACCACGGGUGAGUUUCACAAGCUGAAAGUGUAAGGAGGAGACAAGCUUGUGGAAUAUGACAGCAUCACUGGCUAGCAACAUCUUCUGAUAUCCUGGAAUUAGUCGGGAUGGGCCAUGGAUCUGGAUCUGAAACUUUUAAAUCGAAAUGGGGACAAGAGCAUCCCUAUGACGUCAUUGGAGAAUCUGAGGCAUAGAGAAGCGAAGGGAUGGGCUUCUCGGAUUAGGAGUGAGCGAAGCAUGAGAAGAGAGACCUCAAUUUCCCCUGGGCUGUUUCCCACCCUUCCUAGUUGGGAUUUCUCCUCCCCCAGCAUUUGUGCCCUUUGGGUUAGUAUUCUAGGCAUGAGACUGACCUAUUUCGAAGUGGGACAGGUUGGCAUCUCUAAAGCGGGUUCCACAGAAGACUCUGUUUUGAAGCAACAUGGUGGUAAAGAGGUUAACACUGAAUGGGAGUUUUACUUCCAGGCAGGGAUCUCGAGCCCUGGCGGAAAGACUGCAGCUGCCCUGUGGCCCAGAUAAUGCAACAUCGGGCUGAGCAAGGACAUCUGAGAACAUUCUGUUCUCCUCCCCCGAGACCAAUUAAAAUCUGGAGGCAUCUUUCUUGUUGAUCGAGCUGACUAACUAAUUGAAACGGAAUUGUGAUAUUUUCAUCAGCUUUCUCUUAUCCCUCUUGGCCUUGCCAGCAGAGAGCAAGCUGAAUGAUCAGAGAGUUUCAAGCAUGUGAGGCCCAGGGAACGGAACCCCUCCCACCGUAAACCACUACAUUACCACGGAACAAGGUUCGAAAAAGGAUGAUGCGGGGUUGGGAGUAGGGCGAUACGCUCAAAUCUCAGUCUCAGUUCAUCCAGAUACCAAAGAUACCAUCUUCGGGAUUCCUGAUGAACCAUAACGCUGUCCUUCAGCAGUUGCUGCUCCAAUAAACCAGCUUCUGACCUCUGCCUUCCUAACGAACAUCCCUCUGCCUGACUGGGGAAGCUCCUAGAAACAAAGAACCAAACGCCUCUGAGGCCCAACAAGAUCCCUUUCCUUCCAUUGAGCUAGAAUGUAUUUCCUCGGCACGUGCAAAUGGCCUAGUGGUUAAUCUUAGCAAUUGUCCCAAAGGACAUCCAAGCCUCUGAGAGUGGGUUACACGAUUGAGAUUGCAGGACCUUUUUCUGCUUCAGCAUGAAGACCUGCAUGUUAGCAUUUGUGAGGAGAGCUCAAAAUGGGGGGAAGUCCUCUUGGCUCCUGAUCUAAGGAAGAGCUGCGUUUUGAAGCGUUGGUAGAAUUGCUCACGUGUCCAGUGUGAGGUGGCCUUGGCUGACAAGCUAUCAAAAUAAAUAAAUAACAAGAAAAU
rnacentral:lncRNA from 1 species